rfam:Alligator mississippiensis ScZkoYb_4182, whole genome shotgun sequence.
UAUCUAUCAGUGACAGUGAUUACUAUAGUUA